AAGCAUGACUUUGGUCUCCGUCCUCAUCUGGACUCUCCUCUGCUGCUGCUUCACAGAGUCCAGAGGCCAGGUCACAGUGACUCAGCCUGGAGCAGUGAGCUCUGAUCUGGGAGCCUCCACCACCAUCUCAUGUACCACCAGUCAGAAUGUGGCUGGCUUUAACGAGUUAGCCUGGUACCAACAGAGAGAUGGAGAAACUCCUAAACUUCUCAUUUACUAUGCCACCAGACGACAAUCAGGGAUUUCCAGUCGUUUUUCAGGCAGUGGAUCAAACUCUUAUUUCACUCUGACCAUCAGUGAUGCCUCUGCAGGGACUUCUGUUAGAGGCACUGCAAGAAGCUGCUCAGACUGA